AUUGAACGCUGGCGGCAUGCCUAACACAUGCAAGUCGAACGGCAGCGCGGGGGCAACCCUGGCGGCGAGUGGCGGACGGGUGAGGAAUGCAUAGGAAUCUGCCCGGGUGUGGGGGAUAACGUAGGGAAACUUACGCUAAUACCGCAUACGACCUUCGGGUGAAAGUGGGGGACCUUCGGGCCUCACGCGAUCGGAUGAGCCUAUGCCCGAUUAGCUAGUUGGCGGGGUAAGAGCCCACCAAGGCGACGAUCGGUAGCUGGUCUGAGAGGAUGAUCAGCCACACUGGGACUGAGACACGGCCCAGACUCCUACGGGAGGCAGCAGUGGGGAAUAUUGGACAAUGGGCGCAAGCCUGAUCCAGCAAUGCCGCGUGUGUGAAGAAGGCCUUCGGGUUGUAAAGCACUUUUGUUCGGGAAGAAAUCCGUGUGGUUAAUACCCGUACGGGAUGACGGUACCGAAAGAAUAAGCACCGGCUAACUUCGUG
rnacentral:rRNA from 1 species